GUCAUGUAAUCUCUUAAUCGUUUCACGUCUGAUAAUUUCACCGGUUUCACUAUAAAGUCCUCUGCUCCUUCCUCCAAACACCGGUCGAUUCGAGCCAUGACGUUCUCCGAUGACAUAAUCACUACCGGAAUUUCUCUGAAAGUGGACGAUUCCUUGAUUUUCUUGAGCAACUCGUAACCAGUCAUUCCAGGCAUGCAGUAGUCUGUGAUAAUCAGAUCCACCUUCAAGCCAUCGAAACCAACAGAGGAGCUCUUCUCUUCAUCUAAUCCCAGGAAUUGCAGAGCUCGAAUUCCACUAUCCACUGCAGUCACUUUACAACAUGAGAUUUUGAGCAAACGUUCAAUGACUUUGCGGUCAACAAGACUAUCAUCCACUGCCAAAACGUGCACUUGU
rnacentral:misc_RNA from 1 species